ensembl:lncRNA
ACUGCUACUGGUCUGGUUGUUUUCUGUGUUGGCAGAUUUUCCAAUACCUUUCUGCUUCCUGCAAGUGGGAACAGCUGCAGUGUUCCAAUUACAUCUCAGUCCCAAGCGCCUCAAGGACACUGCUCUUCUGCAAAGGAUCCGAGGUGAAAAGGGUGAUAAUGUUCUCUGUCACAGAUCUGUGGAUUCUUAAAGAGAAGUUCUCUUGGGAGAGACCGUAUUACAGGCAGUGUUGCAGGCAUCCUCACUCCUUGGAAAAGCUUAUUUCUUCAGAUGGGAGUUCAGAAGCGUUGGGCCAGAGCAAAAUGAGCAUUUUGUCAUUAGUGUGCUGCUGUUAAGACGGGAACAGCUCAUCCUGUGUGCCCGUGUAUAAUGGAAGUGUCUGCUUCUGGUAACUGCUGUUUGUCCAUGAUGACUCGGGUGAGCACCUUGUCACUGUUGUGUCUUGGAUCCAUCCCUGCAUUUUGCAGGGUCUGGAUCUUGGUAUGCCGGCUAGUGGAAGAAGCAAGGGAGAACUUCAGUAAGAAAAGUCCUUUAAACUGCUUUCAAGAAGAACAUUUCAUUAAAGCAUUUAUUUCUCUUUUCAACACCGGUGCCUGGAAAACCAUUUAUUUUGAUCUGUGAGACUUUAUUUAGAUUAACAGUUACCCUAAAACCAUAAUAGCCAUUAUAAAAUAUGAUCGUUCUCAUCUUAAGAGUUUGGGAGUAAUUGGAUUUGUCUGGGCUGCUGCUGGUGAAGUGCUCACCUCCCAACACCUGGGACCAGCAGUGCUUAAUUGGACCUCAGCUGCGCAGCACAGCUACGCUUCCCUCUGGCUGCAGCAGCAGGAGGGAGCAGGCGUUCACAGGCUGAUUAGCUGUUGCUGGUCCGGUUGAUGAUUUUCUCUUUCCAGCUAUUUUCUCGAGUUUGUAAUGCUGUGAAAGAACUGCACUGGAAAACAAACAGAAGAAAAUGUGCCAUCAUGCCUUAGCAAGAGGAGAGCCUGAGUUUGGACACUCCAUGUUUCUUCUUGAUGUUCUGAGAUGCUAAUGUGGGCCUCACAUACCAUGGAAGCCUUUCUGGUGGAGGACUGUAAAUCUUUAAAGGGAGAUAACGAUAGAAUUGCUGAUGCGACCUGAUUAUAUCAGUGUGAAUGGGACUGCCAAAAUACAAUUAAAGAAACAGCUUAUAUUCUCUGUCUUGUAGGCAGGAUACAAUUGUUCAUGUCAUUACCACACUUGUUAUUUUCCUGGUGACAAUUGAUUUAACGUACUGUUUGGAAAACGUAUGUGCUUAUUCUCUCAGUGCUGAUUUAUGAUGUGAUAAGAAAGUGCCAAACUUCUUAGCAAUAAAAGAGGUUCUGUGCAGUGUGGUAUGCAGUCAGCAUCUCAUCCUCCAGUCCCUGAAGACUAAUGGAUAGACUGAAGGAAUUACUGCUGACUGCCGUUCGGUGCAGAGGCAUUUAAUACAGGUGAUGUGUGGCACAAGGCUGCCUGGUUCUGCUAUUGUGCCCAGAGAACUGGGAGGCAGAAUGCUAGCUGCAGUUCUGUGCUAUGGCAUAAAAGGCUCCAACUUUGCACAACCCGUGGCUGUGUGCGCUGGUGUUGCUGGGAGAGGUGGUGGCUGUAUAUGUGGGGGCUCUGUGAGGGCUGUGCCUAGCUCCUCCAGCCCUGCCUCAUGCCUGCUCAGUAGGCUUUGCAAUCUGUGCCGUAAUAACUCUUCUUUACUCACUGCAUUCAUUUUGUCCAAGGUUUGUCUGGUUUUGGAAUAGAAACUGGAAUUAAACUUAUGCAGAAAAAUGGUACUUUGAAGUAAAAAACCAGUAUAUGCACUGCAUAAUG